UUCUAAUUCAUAUUUACCGAUUUAGCCAUUAAGAUUUCCUGUGAGGUAACGUACCGGUUCGCCGAUUUAAAUAGUCAUAACCUAAAGUUUAUUUUAAAAAUUUAUUUGUACUGGACUCUAAAAUUUAUUAAAACCGUUUAAACUUAAAUCUUUAUUUAUUAUCUCUAACGUUUUGGAUAUUUAUUGACGACUACAUAUAGCAUAGACAAGAAGGUUCUGAAGAAAUCUGAGAGGAAUAGAAGACAUUUUAUAACAAUAUUGUUUACCCAAAAGAAGAAAAGAUUUAUAGUACAUCAAAACAUCAGGAAGGGUUCAAGUUCUUAAAGCAAUGGAUAAACAUUCUAAGAGUGUCAAUGGAAAUACAGGUGCUUUCAAUGGCCACACGAUACAACCAAAUAGCAAGGACCAUGCAGCUGCUAAUACCUCGCUAAAUAUUUUAGAUACGAAAAUGGCCAAAGAAUAUGGAAAGACAGAAAUAGACGAAGACGAAACGGAGAAAAAUGACGAGACCUCAGAGGUCGUAGAUGUUUUAACUGAAACAGAUUUUGAAGUAAAAAAGUUAGAGUUAUUGGAGAAAGCUAAAGAAGCAAUGAAAGAGAUUAACAACAGUCAACACGAUCGCACAUCACAAGGACAUUUGACCGAAAGAUUGAGAGCAAGCAUUUUAAAAAUCUAUGAUUCUUACUUCUGGCUUAAGAAAAGUUCAAUUAAACGAAGAACUGAAUAUAGACUGCAACUUGCUGGAGAGCUCAUACUCGCCGAUAAUAACACUUUGGUGAUAUUCUGUGAUCUAUGUAAAAAUAUAUUUCAUUCUGGUUACAGAAACUGUGAAGGGAAACCGGUCGGAGCAAUAUUCAAGCCAUUAAAGAACAUGAUUGUCUUUUUACAAAAUAUUACCGACAACA